AGUGAACGCUGGCGGUAGGCCUAACACAUGCAAGUCGAACGGCAGCACAGGAGAGCUUGCUCUCUGGGUGGCGAGUGGCGGACGGGUGAGGAAUACAUCGGAAUCUACUUUUUCGUGGGGGAUAACGUAGGGAAACUUACGCUAAUACCGCAUACGACCUACGGGUGAAAGCAGGGGAUCUUCGGACCUUGCGCGAUUGAAUGAGCCGAUGGCGGAUUAGCUAGUUGGCGGGGUAAAGGCCCACCAAGGCGAAGAUCCGUAGCUGGCCGGGGAGGAUGAUCAGCCACACUGGAACUGAGACACGGUCCAGACUCCUACGGGAGGCAGCAGUGGGGAAUAUUGGACAAUGGGCGCAAGCCUGAUCCAGCCAUACCGCGUGGGUGAAGAAGGCCUUCGGGUUGUAAAGCCCUUUUGUUGGGAAAGAAAUCCAGCUGGUUAAUACCCGGUUGGGAUGACGGUACCCAAAGAAUAAGCACCGGCUAACUUCGUGCCAGCCACCGCAGUAA
rnacentral:rRNA from 1 species